UUUCCGUAGGUGAACCUGCGGAAGGAUCAUUAAAAAAUUGGACUCCAUUGGUGAGUUCAUUAAUAAUCCUACCCUUUGUGAAUUUGUUUGUUUGAAUAAUUUUUUUUCCAAAAAAAAUUAUUGAAUGUCUUUCCCUGUUUUGGUGGAGCUUGUAAAGUGAAACCAGGCAGGGGAAUGGCAAACAAUAAUUAUUUUUGAAAAAGACCUUUUUUAAAAUUAAACUUUUUGUAUUCAUUUGUCUAAAAUUAUUUUUAUAAUAUAAAAACAACUUUUGACAAUGGAUCUCUUGGUUCUCGCAACGAUGAAGAACGCAGCAAAAUGCGAUAAGUAGUGUGAAUUGCAGAAUACGUGAAUCAUCGAAUCUUCGAACGCAUAUUGCACUUUUUUAGUUUACUAAAAAAGUAUGUCUGUUUGAGUAUCAGUAAAAUAUUCUCAUAAAAAAUUUAUUUUUUAUGGUUAUGAGUGUUUUACAACGAUAACAAGUUGUUUCACUUUAAAUUCUUUGUUAUCAAAAAAAUCAUUAAAAGCUGAUUUUAAAGAUUUUUUAAAAUUGGAUAAAAUUUUCCCGUAAAAAGGAAUAACCUAAACAAUUUUAAAAAAUUAAAAUUGGUUUGAUUUUUCUUGAUUUAAAAAGGAAAAAAAAGUAAAAAUUAACUUGAUCUCAAAUCAGAUAAGAGUACCCGCUGAACUUAAGCAUAUCAAUAAGCGGAGGAAAAGAAACUAACUAGGAUUCCCUCAGUAACGGCGAGUGAAGCGGGAAGAGCUCAAAUUUGAAAUCUUCAAGGUUUUACCUUGACGAAUUGUAGUUUAAAGAAGUGUUUUCUGUUGGAGUUUUGGUAAAAGUUCUUUGGAAAAGGACAUCAUAGAGGGUGAGAAUCCCGUAUUUGACCAUUAUCUCCAGCUUUGUGAUACACUUUCAAAGAGUCGGAUUGUUUGGGAAUGCAGUCCAAAAUGGGUGGUAAAUUUCAUCUAAAGCUAAAUACUGGCGAGAGACCGAUAGCGAACAAGUACCGUGAGGGAAAGAUGAAAAGAACUUUGAAAAGAGAGUUAAACAGUACGUGAAAUUGUCAAAAGGGAAGCGUUUGACACCAGUGUUGUUUUCUCGAAAAUCAAUUAAAAAAGGCCGGAUUUUGUGUUGUAUUGACUUUAUCAGCUUUCUGCACUUUUUUCUUGUCUUUUUUAAUGCACUUUUCGUUUAACAAGUCAACAUCAAUUUCUUUUGUUGUAAAAGGGUCAUUGGAAGGUGGCUUUCUUUUCGGAGAAAGUGUUUAUAGCCUUUGGCCUCUGCAAUCGGAGAGAUUGAGGUCUGCAGCGUAGAUCCUUCGGGGUUAGAUACAUUUGUGCUAAGUUAUAGCCUUUCAUAGACAACUUGUUGACUAUGAUCAGUCAUGUAGCUCACUCGCUUAUGCUAUUU
rnacentral:misc_RNA from 1 species